rnacentral:rRNA from 1 species
GAUGAACGCUAGCGGGAGGCUUAAUACAUGCAAGUCGUACGGUAAGGUCAGAGCUUGCUCUGAUACACGAGUGGCGCACGGGUGAGUAACGCGUACACUACCUACCUUAGAGAGAGGGAUAGCCCUGGGAAACUGGGAUUAAUACUUCAUAGUAUACUGGUUAUAGAUUAGUAUUAAAGACUUCGGUUGCUCUAAGAUGGGUGUGCGUCCCAUUAGCUAGUUGGUAUGGUAACGGCAUACCAAGGCUACGAUGGGUAGGGGGCGUGAGAGCGUGAACCCCCACACGGGUACUGAGACACGGACCCGACUCCUACGGGAGGCAGCAGUAAGGAAUAUUGGACAAUGGGGGCAACCCUGAUCCAGCCAUCCCGCGUGUAGGAAGACGGCCCUAUGGGUUGUAAACUACUUUUAUAUGGGAAGAAAAGCAGGGAUUUAUCCUUGAUUGACGGUACCAUAGGAAUAAGCACCGGCUAACUCCG